GGUCCGAGAGAAUAGUUUCCAAUCUUCUUCUUCUUUUGUUUGUUUGUUUUUAUCGUAAUUCAAUGAUUUUUGUCGUCUAAAUCUGUCUAGUGUGUACACAUUAUUGUAAAAUAAUUCGGUGUGACUGACUAGUUGGACGUAAUGUACAAAGAAUUAGUGAAUCGGCGUGUAAAGAAAGAAAAUAUUUUUUUCUUCCCCGAAGCGAGCGGUUUCACAAUAAUCACAAUUCACGACCAAAAAAAAGUCCAAAGAAAAAUGGCCGAUCCACAAAUUCCCGAAUCAAGAGGGCGAGAUUUCAGUCGCGCUGAGCACACUCCGUCACCAUUCGACAUCGAAAAGGUUACCACUCUCCUUCACUCCCUCUCAUGGGUGCAUGCAUGGGUGGCAGCACAGGAGAUGAAAACUAAUCCACUGAAGGAAGCGGCGCGCUUGGUGAAAGAACGAGUUGCGGAUGUUUUGGAUACAUUUGGAUACGAAGGAGCAGAGUGCAUUACGAAGAAAUUUGAUGAUGAAAAGUUUAAAAAAAAAGGUUGGGGAAAUAUGUGGUGCAGCGAUUACGAGCUUCGAAAUUCAUAACGACUACGUUGGCUCUCGAUUUCGCCUUAAGAUGGAACUAGCGAGAGAGGCAAUUUUGUCACUUAAAAAUCUUGUAGCACCGGUAAGAAAAACAGAAGAAACGUUACUAAAAACAAUAUUAAGACGUAAAUUAAGACAAAAUAGACUUCAAAUUUAUAGUGAAAGAAGAAUUACAAUUCCGGUGGACGAAUAAAAUCUGGUUGGGAGCAGCCACAGAUAGUGAAUGCAAUCCUUUUCUAAAACCGGUAAACGGUAUUACCGAAAUUUUUGAUUAAAUUUACCGGUAAAUUACCGGUAAUCUAUACUGCAUAUAAAUCGGUAAAUCAAGUUCAAUUUUAUAAUGACAAGAUCAAAAAAAUUCUUUGUCUAAAGCUAAAUCAACAUCAUGACAAACGAACUUUGAAUUAGAACUUUCACUGAGAAAAAAGAGUUGAAAAUCUCCCGAACUCUCAUGUCACAACAAAAAUGUCACAACAAAAUCCAAAUGACAAAUCAUAAUUCGAUGCUUAACACUGUUAACACCCCUUACGAAGCAACUGAGGAAGCCUCUAAAUUGUAAUCCCAGACUAGUUUUGCAAACCCUUUCGAAUAG